UGUAUCUGAAGCCUGACGAGGAUGAGAACCUCCGGGGGCAAGAGGUUCGACUCGAGCGCAGCGAGAGAACGUUGCGUCAGCAACGGCCCGCAGGGCGAGCC
rnacentral:sRNA from 1 species